CCGACCAUCUCCUCCUCCGAGCUCCAAGCGUCCAUGGUGGCCUCCUCUUGCUGCCUCUGCUCGGCCGCGCCGCGUGCAGACGACUCUUCCCGCUCGUCAAGGGUCGGCACAGCGAUUGGAGACGAGCAGGAAUGAACCAACAAGCCUAAGAGGAGGAGCAGGAGCUCCAUCAGCAGCAGCUCAUGCUCAUGGACGACCAAGUCUGAAUCAUUGAUGUUACUCUGCUGUCCUGGCUUCAAUUCACGGCAUAGGAGGGGUGAACUUCAUUACUUAACCGGAUUAUUGACCCACAGACUCCUCUUGUCACCACCCUGCGGUCGUGAUGGCGGCGUCCAGCGUGGCCCCGUGCUUGCCUGGGGGAGUCCCGCCUUGGUUUGGCCAGGCCCGACCAUCUCCUCCCCCGAGCUCCAAGUAUCCACGGCGGCCUCCUCCUCUUGCCCCUGCUCGGCCGUGUCACGUGCAGACGCCAUGGACCUUCCUCUUCCCGCUCGUCAAGGGACGGCACGGCGAUUGGGGACGAGCAGGAAUGAACCAACAAGCGUAGGACGAGGAGGAGCUCCAUCAGCAGAAGCUCAUGGAGGAACAAGUCUGAAUCUCCUCACGGCAUAGGUACAUAGAUUACCUGUACCAUGUCGACGUUUCCUCCCCUGAGCUCCAAGUAUCCACGGUGGCCUCCUCCUUUUUCCUCUCCUCGGCCGUGUGCUGACGCCAUCAAGGUUUUGAUUUGAUCUUCUUCCCUUCCUUGGUUUCCUCACGCGCUCCUACUCCACAACCAUAGGGAUGGCAUAGCGAUUCGGGACGAGCAGGAUGGGGCCAACAAGCCUAGCAGAAGGAGGAGCUCCAUCAGCAGCAGCUCACGGAGGAACAAGUCUGAAUCGUUGCUGUUUGCGUUCACUCUGGUGUCCUGGCUUCACUUCACGGCAUAGGUGAGCAGUAGGCAUCCUCCACGGACGACAUUGACGAGGAACAUGCGGUACUGCAUGGCCGAGCUGCUGAGCUCGAGAAGAACAUCAUCGAGUCCGACCCCAACAUUGAAGGAUCUGUUUGCCCGUGAUUCUUGCCCCAAAAGUGGACUUGGACAAACUACAAGUUCGACGAUAGGUGUUCACAUAGGUGAUCGUUGCUGUGAUGAACUGGUCAUGUUCAUGUUGCUGGGAUGAGGCCUCCCGUGCGGCUUCCCCUGCGCUUCCGGGGCUGUUUCUUCUCCGACUCCAGUGCAGGAUGAAACUGCAAAUUUUGAGAAGGAAGGAGCGAGCUCCCAGGCCGGACGAGUCUGGAUGCGUGUUCGCAGUCUAGUCGCCGUCCUCUGUACGCACGGUGGUGAGGGUCGCAGCCAUCGUCUGCGCGCACGAGGCCGUACCUUAGCCGCAGCUUCUUUGACUCUGACCUCGAGGCUUGAUAUGGUACAUUUUCCCCGGGUUUUGCUCCACCAUUUUCAUGCUAUGGAACAAGCACCAUGGCAACAGGCAGCUCAUCGGAGCAUUUGAAGUCACAACCCCUCCUCGGCGACGAACCGUCGACCAGCUCCUUGCUGUGCAAGAAGCCAUCUUGCAGCUUGAGAGGCGAUCGUAAAAGUGAUGAAUGGGUCAUGUUCAUGUUGGUAUGAUGAAGCCUCCUGUGUGGCUUCCCCUACACCUCCGGUGGCUGUUCCUUCUAUGACUCCAGUGCAGGAAGCAACGGAGCAGCAGGAUAGCCGCCUCGCUCUCGCAGGGCUCGGGGUGACGAUGAGCUCCGGUGACCAUCUGUUGGCAGCGGUGAUGAAGCCUCCCGUGUGGCUUCCCCUGCACCUCGGGCGGCUGUUCCUUCUCUGACUCCAGUGCAGUGCAGAAAUGAAGUGCCAAGACGUAGCAACCUUUUGGACCCUCACCACCAAACCGUGGAAGGCAUAUCAAAAGCCAUUUUGGUCGUCAUUGCUGAGCACUGGAGUUGGGCGUUUUGCACCGCCAGCUGUCAGUUGGUGCUGGCCAUGAUCCGAUACAAACCUGUAGUGUUUGGUUCUGUUGUAGCUGAUGCGUGCUUGUGAUUUGUAUGGCUUUGGUGCCCUAUUUUUUGCUUUUGCUUUGAGUAAACCCAAUAGCAAGUGAUUUUCUCAGGGCUCUGUAAGCAACAUGUUGAUGGAGCACGAAGACAUCUGGUUUGGGUUAUCCUUCUUGUUGUAGUGGUGAUGUCUAAUCUCUAGUAUCACCUCUUUUCCGAAAGAUAAGUCGCCGGGGGAGUUCAGUUUACACUCCCCCAACGACUUAUAUUUAGGAACAGAGGGAGUACAUGUUCUGUAGUCUUUACAAGCCUGUAGGGUUGUAGCUGGUGCUUGCCUGUAACCCCCAGCGAUUUUUGUUUU